rnacentral:rRNA from 1 species
UGGGGAAUAUUGCACAAUGGGCGCAAGCCUGAUGCAGCAACGCCGCGUGAGGGAUGACGGCCUUCGGGUUGUAAACCUCUUUUAGCAGGGAAGAAGCGAAAGUGACGGUACCUGCAGAAAAAGCACCGGCUAACUACGUGCCAGCAGCCGCGGUAAUACGUAGGGUGCAAGCGUUGUCCGGAAUUAUUGGGCGUAAAGAGCUCGUAGGCGGUCUGUCGCGUCUGCUGUGAAAUCCCCGAGGCUCAACCUCGGGGCCUGCAGUGGGUACGGGCAGACUAGAGUGCGGUAGGGGAGAAUGGAACUCCUGGUGUAGCGGUGGAAUGCGCAGAUAUCAGGAAGAACACCGAUGGCGAAGGCAGUUCUCUGGGCCGUAACUGACGCUGAGGAGCGAAAGCGUGGGGAGCGAACAGGAUUAGAUACCCUGGUAGUCCACGCCGUAAACGUUGGGCGCUAGAUGUGGGGCACCAUUCCACGGUUUCCGUGUCGCAGCUAACGCAUUAAGCGCCCCGCCUGGGGAGUACGGCCGCAAGGCU